rnacentral:rRNA from 1 species
AGCGACCUAAGGUAGGGUCAGCGAUUGGGGUGAAGUCGUAACAAGGUAGCCGUAGGAGAACCUGCGGCUGGAUCACCUCCUUUCUAUGGAG